GGACUACAAGGGUAUCUAAUCCUGUUUGCUCCCCACGCUCUCGCGCAUCAGCGUCAGUAUUUGUCCAGGUAGCCGCCUUCGCCACUGGUGUUCCUUCCGAUCUCUACGCAUUUCACCGCUACACCGGAAAUUCCACUACCCUCUACAAUACUCCAGUCAUGCAGUUAUCGAUGCAGUUCCUAGGUUAAGCCCAGGGAUUUCACACCAAUCUUACAUAACCGCCUACGCGCCCUUUACGCCCAGUAACUCCGAUUAACGCUCGCACCCUCUGUAUUACCGCGGCUGCUGGCAC
rnacentral:rRNA from 2 species